GACGAACGCUGGCGGCGUGCUUAACACAUGCAAGUCGAACGGAAAGGCCCUGCUUGCAGGGUGCUCGAGUGGCGAACGGGUGAGUAACACGUGGGUGAUCUGCCCCUUACUUUGGGAUAAGCCUGGGAAACUGGGUCUAAUACUGGAUAGGACCAUGCUGUAGGUGGUGUGGUGGAAAGAUUAGUUUCGGUAAGGGAUGAGCUCGCGGCCUAUCAGCUUGUUGGUGGGGUAAUGGCCUACCAAGGCGUCGACGGGUAGCCGGCCUGAGAGGGUGGACGGCCACAUUGAGACUGAGAUACGGCCCAGACUCCUACGGGAGGCAGCAGUGGGGAAUAUUGCACAAUGGGCGCAAGCCUGAUGCAGCGACGCCGCGUGGGGGAUGACGGCCUUCGGGUUGUAAACUCCUUUCAGCCAUGACGAAGCCCUUGUGGUGACGGUAGUGGUAGAAGAAGCACCGGCUAACUACGUG
rnacentral:rRNA from 1 species